AUGAAUGCACUCUUUAUAACAGCAUAUACAGUUGCGAACCAAUUUGCGGAUUUUGGGAAUGGGAAAGGGAAUCAGAUUGGAGUUAGGGAUAAUAAGCUGAAUGAGUUAGGGUUAGGUUUUGCUGCUCAAAUUGUUGCUAAUCAGUUUGCGGAUUUUGGAAAUGGUAAAGGGAAUCAGAUUGGAGUUAGGGAUGGUUUUGGUUUGAAUCAAACUAAUUUUACUAGCUCUGUUGCUGCUGAUGAUAGGAUGAAGUCAGGGAAAUGA